UACAGAGGGCGCGAGCGUUUGUCCGGAAUCACUGGGCGUAAAGGGCGCGUAGGUGGCGGCAUAAGGCCGUGGUGAAAGUCUGGGGCUCAACCCCAGAUCGGCCAUGGCGACUGUGUCGCUAGGGUACUGUAGAGGCAGGUGGGAAUUCCGGGUGUAGCGGUGAAAUUCGUAGAUAUUCGGAGGAACACCAGUGGCGAAGGCGGCAUCCUGGACCGAGAUUGACGCUGAGGCGCGAAAGCCAGGGGAGCAAACGGG
rnacentral:rRNA from 1 species